AGCAGCCGCGGUAAUUCCAGCUCCAAUAGCGUAUAUUAAAGUUGUUGCAGUUAAAAAGCUCGUAGUUGAAUUUCGGGGUUAGUAGGUUGGUCGUGCCUUUGGUAUGUACUGGUCUCACUGAUUCCUCCUUCUUGAAGAACUGUAAUGUCAUUAAUUUGGUGUUGCAGGGAAACAGGACUGUUACUUUGAAAAAAUUAGAGUGUUUAAAGCAGGCUAACGCCUGAAUACAUUAGCAUGGAAUAAUGAAAUAGGACGUUUGAUCCUAUUUUGUUGGUUUCUAGGAUUGACGUAAUGAUUAAUAGGGAUAGUUGGGGGCAUUAGUAUUCAAUUGUCAGAGGUGAAAUUCUUGGAUUUAUUGAAGACUGACUACUGCGAAAGCAUUUGCCAAGGAUGUUCUCAUUAAUCAAGAACGAAAGUUAGGGGAUCGAAGACGAUCAGAUACCGUCGUAGUCUUAACCAUAAACUAUGCCGACUAGGGAUCGGAUGAUGUUAAUUUUUAAUGACUCAUUCGGCGCCUUAA
rnacentral:rRNA from 1 species